AUUGAACGCUGGCGGCAUGCCUUACACAUGCAAGCCGAACGGCAGCGGACCUUCGGGUGCCGGCGAGUGGCGAACGGGUGAGUAAUAUAUCGGAACGUACCUUUCAGUGGGGGAGUAACGUAGCGAAAGUUACGCUAAUACCGCAUAUUCUGUGAGCAGGAAAGCAGGGGAUCGCAAGACCUUGCGCUGAUUGAGCGGCCGAUAUCAGAUUAGCUAGUUGGUGAGGUAAAGGCUCACCAAGGCGACGAUCUGUAGCGGGUCUGAGAGGAUGAUCCGCCACACUGGAACUGAGACACGGUCCAGACUCCUACGGGAGGCAGCAGUGGGGGAAUUUUUGGACGAAUAGGCGGCGAA
rnacentral:rRNA from 1 species